GGUGAUGUAGCUCAGUUGGUCAGAGCGGCGGACUCAUAACCCGCAGGUCGGUGGUUCAAAUCCACCCAUCACCACCA
rnacentral:tRNA from 2 species